CCAGGAUUGACAACCACUGCCAUAAAGAACCUUUAACAUCUGAAGAACCUUUCUGUUUCACGGUGAAAGAAGGUUCUUCAGAUUAUAAAAGACACAGCCUCUUUUGGGGGUGCUGAGAGGGCUGUUCUCAAGGGCCCUAUACCCUGCGUAUUUGCUUACGGAUCCCACGUAUAUGACUCCAUUUACUCAUGUGAGGUGACAGACGCUCAACACACAACAAGACAGGGUGCAAAUCAUUGGCAGAAGAGAUCAGAAAUGGCCCCAAUAAAAACAGCACUGGCAGAUUUCCUGGAACAAAUGGC